GUAGGUGAACCUGCGGAAGGAUCAUUACAAAAACAAAAUCCAAAUCACACCAAUAUGUGCUCUUUUGACGCAGAAGGUCUUUGUGUGUGUGCUUGUGCUUGUGCUUUGUAUGUAAGGCUGUUUGUAUGUGUGUGUGUGUGUAUACGAUUGUGUGGGUGUGGAAACACGCCCAUACUUUCUCUCACACAGACACACACAGACACUCUCAUCCCUACACACACACACACACACACACACACAUCCCCCCUUCUUGCUCGUCUUUUAUUUUGAAUUUUCAUUAACUCCUUGUUUCCAACCAAACAACGGAUUACAAUGUUAAAACUUGAAACUAAAAAAACAAACAAACAAAAUGACAACUUUUAACGGUGGAUCUCUUGGCCCGU
rnacentral:misc_RNA from 1 species